GAGCCGACGCUGGCGGCAUGCCCGCACACGCAGUCGAGCGGCAGCACAGCAGUAGCAAACCGCGGGCGGCGAGCGGCGGAGGGGUGAGUAGUGCAUCGAGAGUUAGUUAGACGCGGGGGAGAGCGUAGGGAGGGUUACGCUAGGACCGCAUACGUCCACGGGAGAGGGCAGGGGACCCCCGGGCCUGCGCGGCAGACGGACCGAUGCUCGACAGCUAGUUGGUAGGGUAACGGCCUACCAAGGCGACGAUCGAUAGCUGGUCUGAAGGAUGAUCAGCCACACUGGAACUGAGACACGGUCCAGACUCCUACGGGAGGCAGCAGUGGGGAAUAUUGGACAAUGGGCGCAAGCCUGAUCCAGCAAUGCCGCGUGUGUGAAGAAGGCCUUCGGGUUGUAAAGCACUUUUAUCAGGAGCGAAACGCUGUCGAUUAAUACUCGGCGGAACUGACGGUACCUGAGGAAUAAGCACCGGCUAACUUCGUGCCAGCAGCCGCGGUAAUACGAAGGGUGCAAGCGUUAAUCGGAAUUACUGGGCGUAAAGCGUGCGUAGGCGGUUUGUUAAGUCUGUUGUGAAAUCCCCGGGCUCAACCUGGGAAUGGCAAUGGAUACUGGCAAGCUAGAGUGUGAUAGAGGAUGGUGGAAUUCCCGGUGUAGCGGUGAAAUGCGUAGAGAUCGGGAGGAACAUCAGUGGCGAAGGCGGCCAUCUGGAUCAACACUGACGCUGAGGCACGAAAGCGUGGGGAGCAAACAGGAUUAGAUACCCUGGUAGUCCACGCCCUAAACGAUGCGAACUGGAUGUUGGUCUCAACUCGGAGAUCAGUGUCGAAGCUAACGCGUUAAGUUCGCGGCCUGGGGAGUACGGUCGCAAGACUGA
rnacentral:rRNA from 1 species